UACGAAGGGGGCUAGCGUUGCUCGGAAUCACUGGGCGUAAAGCGCACGUAGGCGGCUUUUUAAGUCAGAGGUGAAAUCCUGGAGCUCAACUCCAGAACUGCCUUUGAUACUGAGAGGCUUGAGUCCGGGAGAGGUGAGUGGAAUUCCGAGUGUAGAGGUGAAAUUCGUAGAUAUUCGGAAGAACACCAGUGGCGAAGGCGGCUCACUGGACCGGUAUUGACGCUGAGGUGCGAAAGCGUGGGGAGCAAACAGG
rnacentral:rRNA from 1 species